rnacentral:rRNA from 1 species
GGUGAUUAGUGGCGAACGGGUGAGUAACACGUGAGUAACCUGCCCUUAACUCUGGGAUAAGCCUGGGAAACUGGGUCUAAUACCGGAUAUGACUCCUCAUCGCAUGGUGGGGGGUGGAAAGCUUUUUGUGGUUUUGGAUGGACUCGCGGCCUAUCAGCUUGUUGGUGAGGUAAUGGCUCACCAAGGCGACGACGGGUAGCCGGCCUGAGAGGGUGACCGGCCACACUGGGACUGAGACACGGCCCAGACUCCUACGGGAGGCAGCAGUGGGGAAUAUUGCACAAUGGGCGCAAGCCUGAUGCAGCGACGCCGCGUGAGGGAUGACGGCCUUCGGGUUGUAAACCUCUUUCAGUAGGGAAGAAGCGAAAGUGACGGUACCUGCAGAAGAAGCGCCGGCUAACUACGUGCCAGCAGCCGCGGUAAUACGUAGGGCGCAAGCGUUAUCCGGAAUUAUUGGGCGUAAAGAGCUCGUAGGCGGUUUGUCGCGUCUGCCGUGAAAGUCCGGGGCUCAACUCCGGAUCUGCGGUGGGUACGGGCAGACUAGAGUGAUGUAGGGGAGACUGGAAUUCCUGGUGUAGCGGUGAAAUGCGCAGAUAUCAGGAGGAACACCGAUGGCGAAGGCAGGUCUCUGGGCAUUAACUGACGCUGAGGAGCGAAAGCAUGGGGAGCGAACAGGAUUAGAUACCCUGGUAGUCCAUGCCGUAAACGUUGGGCACUAGGUGUGGGGGACAUUCCACGUUUUCCGCGCCGUAGCUAACGCAUUAAGUGCCCCGCCUGGGGAGUACGGCCGCAAGGCUAAA